AGGCCGUCAAUAUCAUCAAUUUUCAAAUGCAAAAUUAAAAAAUCGAAAUCGCUUCACCACAAUGUCUCACCUGCUUCGCAAGAAACGGAAGAAUUGUUGAAUGGACGCGUCGCUCGUCUGCCAAAUAUGUGGUGAAAAACUAGCGUUUAAUCCAGAAUGUCCGUGCACUUUGGGUGAGCAUCUCAUCCGGAAGCAUCCCAAUGUUGAAAUGACCCAUUUCUCGACCGAAGACUUGUGCUGUUGCAGUUCUUCCUCCAAAAAAUUACCCCCAUGUCCCAGAACUGGCUUGCCCUGCAGCUGUGAGACUUUUGCUAAACCCAAAAUCCAGUUGACUCCCAAGUGCGUUUUCAAAACUACAGUGGAAACAUGGAAACCAGGACCUUUAAGGGUCAUGUGUCCUCAGUGCGCCAAUCUGGACAGGCCCUGCAUCCGAAGGCAGCGAAACAGAGUAAGUUGAAGUGGCAUAUUCUCCAUUAGGUGCGCUUUGCUUGUUGGUCUGCUGGCCUGUAUGCUUCCUGCCGUUUCUGAUGCCUCAGAGCAGCCAGAUUCAGUUGUUUUGCAAACAGUGUGGGGCGUUUUUAGGGGAAUACGAUAGAAAGUCUGGUCGUAUGCAAUGCCCGCCAUGCCCAGCCAAAGGCCAGUACAGUGUGAACAAUCUUCCUCCUAUAUGUUAACGUUGAUAAAGAACUAAUUUUACGAAUAGAAACAAAACUUACAA
rnacentral:misc_RNA from 1 species